ACCUUAUCCACACUCUCCGAGAUAUUUCCUCAAAAAAAAAACUCUCCGAAAUAUCUCCUCCCGUCUUCUCCCCACUUCCCCAGUCUCCUCCCCUCGUCGCCGGCGCCUUCCUCUCACUGCUUCCCGUCCGUCCACUGCUGUCGUCAUACCUAUGAUCCAGGGAUUCUCCUCGCUGCUGCCACCUUUGGAUCUGGGACGCCGGUGUGGAUCCCGAACAUCUUGGGGCUUCGCUUCGUGCGCUGCAGCCCCCGCCUCGUAUGUCCCAGUCUUCCUCGCGUCUGGCGUGCAGCCGUCGCCGGUCUUCACCGCCUCCAACACUGACCUCGUUUAGCCCCGCAUCCCUCGUGAGCCUGAUGUGCGGCGAGGAGGUGGAGGUGCAGUUGGUGCUGGUUGCCGCGAAGCGUGGCCAGGAUGGUUGUGUUUGCCCUCGCACGUGUUGAUCACCACCGCGGCGUCCUGGUACGACCUUCCACCUUCUUCUUCACCGGCACUUCUACGUCGAGCACCGGCGGUAGCUCCUAUAUGCAUCCAUUUCCAUCGGCCCAUUGCAAAAGAAUUGGAUCUCAUUUCUUGUUGGAUGCAACUUCAUUUUUAAAUGUUACAAUUCCAGGUCAAGAGUUACUUUACGAAUUUGCUGGAUGUAGUUUCAACAUAUGUAGUUACUUUUAUGAGUUUAGUAGAUGUAGUUUUAAUGUUAAGAGUUACUUUCCUGAUUGUUUUAGAUGUAGUUGUGAUGUUAAAAGUUACAUCUACUUGUGAACUUGGACAGAGUAAAUUUUAGUAGAUGUGUGGAGUUACUUUUCAUUUUUCGAGCUACUAGGAUUAGUUGUAUUUGCUUUCCUUUGUGAUUGUUCGAUGUAGUUUUGUAGUCAACAGAGGUAAAUAUGUGUGCGCAUGAUGUAGUUCUCUUACACGGAUCUAACUUUUUAGUUAGUCUGAUUUUUAUCCUUUUGUGUUUCAACUUUUGAAGCAUGGCUGGUGAUAUUGAACUACCAUCCUCUGUUUGUCGUUAUAAUUUGAACUGUCUGAAAUCUAACAUGCAUUUUCUUGCUCCUUGCUUAUUAUAUGUACCGCAUGUAUGCUUUUCGGAGGAUGUAGUUCUUAUAAUUUUAGAAGUAACUUUUUUGGUUAAGUUCAAGUUUGGGUCUCAAGUUACUGUUAGCCUCACGAAGUGUAAAAAAGUACCAAGGACAACAACUAAGUGUUUUUCGUACAUAAAGGCAGAUCGUAAACCAUAUUGUCCCUUUUGUAAGUUUCAGAGAAAAUGCCACAAACUGUGACCUGCUCAUAUCUCAUAUUUAUACAGCCACUAAGGGCCUGAAUACAUGCUAAACUAAAGGCACUAAUGGCUUGGUUACAUGCUGCACUAAGAGCACUAAUGCCCUAAAUAUAUGCUGUACUUAAUGCACUAACUAUAGGGGGGAAAACAAUUAUGUGCAUUCUGCAACUGGUUGCCUAACACUCCCCCGCAGUCUCAACGGGAGAUUCUCGGACAUUGAGAUUGGACCGAAAAUCCAAGAACAAUGGAGAUGCCAAGCCCUUGGUGAAGAUGUCAGCGAACUGCCGGGAGGACGGCACAUGCAGAACGCACACAUGGCCCAUGGAGACCCGAUCCCGAACGAAAUGUUGAUCAAUCUCAAUAUGCUUGGUGCGUUGAUGUUGUACCAGGUUCGAUGACAUGUAAAUGGCACUGACGUUGUCGCAGAAAACGGCAGUUGCCUGAUGAAGAGGGCAUCGCGGGUCCUGGAGGAGUUGGCGGAUCCAGCUGGACUCCGCUACUGCAUUAGCAACAGCACGGUACUCCGCCUCAGCACUGGAACGUGAGAUGGUGUGCUGGCGCUUAGAGGACCAAGACACCAAGUUCUCCCCGAGGAAGACACAGUAGCCAGAGGUGGAGCGACGUGUGUCCGGGCAACCAGCCCAGCCAGCGUCCGUGUAGGCGAUCAAGGUGUCCGCAGCAGAUGAAGCAAGCUGGAGUCCAUGAUGUAGAGUACCCUUGAUGUAGCAGAGGACACGCUUGACUAGCGCAAGAUGUUGUUCUCACGGGUCAUGCAUGUGUAAGCAUAUCUGCUGCAUAGCGUAGGUGAUGUCCGGCCACGUGAAGGUGAGGUACUCAAGAGCUCCGGUGAGGCUGCGAUACGUCAUCGGGUUGGCGACGGGGGAACCAGUGGUGGAGCCUAGUUUCGUAGAGGUGUCGACGGGAGUGGGUGACGAUUUGCAAGAGGACAUACCAGCACGUUCCAGGAUCUCGGCAGCGUACUUGCCCUGGGAGAGGAGCAUCCUGCCCGAGUCGCGGAUGACCACGAUGCCAAGGAAGUAGUGCAAGGCGCCCAUGUCCGUCAUGGCGAACCCAGAGCUGAGGGCAGUGAUGACACGCUCGAGGAGGAGUGGUGAAGACGCCGUGAGGAUGAUGUCAUCGACGUACAGCAGCAGUUAUGUUGUUCCCAUGGUGCCGUGGAGGACGAAGAGCGACGUGUCAGACUUGGAGCAGGUGAAGCUGUUGGUCGCAAUGUGGGAGGCGAAGCGCUGGUACCAAGCCCGGGGUGCCUGCUUCAAACCGUACAAGGAACGGUUCAGGCAGCAGGCGUGGUCGGGGCGGGAGUCAUCGAUGAACCCAGUAGGUUGCCAGCAGUAGACAACUUCAUUGAGUGUGCCAUGCAGGAAUGCGUUCUUGACAUCAAGCUGCUGGACGUGCCAGUUGAGGGAGAGUGCGAUGGAGAGGAUGACACGAAUGGUUGCUGGCUUGACAACCGGGCUGAAGGUCUCGUCGAAGUCAACACCACGUUCCUGAGAGAAACCGCGGAGCACCCAACGUGCUUUGUAGCGAUCAAGGGUGUCGUCUGACCGCAGCUUGUGACGGAAGAUCCACUUGCCGACGACGAUGUUCGCAUUGGGCGGAGGGCGCACCAGAUCCCAAGUGUUGUUGGUGAUGAGCGCUUGGUACUCGGUCGUCAUAGCAUCAAGCCAGUUCGGGUCUUGAGAGCACCCCGAACAGACUUUGGGACAGGCAAGUGCGACCCGAGGGCGACGGUGUGGAACAUGAGGCGGUCGGACGGUGGGAUCUUCUUACCGGCACGCCGCCUUAUCAAAGGUCGCAUAGGCUGGAGGAGGCGGCCCAGCCGGAGGUGCUGUGGCAGGCCGCACCAGUACUGGAGCUGGGGCGGUUGGAGGUGCAGAACCUGCUGGAAGGUGUGAUCCAGCAGGUUUAUGAACAGCCGGGGUGAUUUGCACUGCUGGGGCAGUAAUGGGGGUGUUGUACUGUAAGAAAUCAUAGGAAGACGAAGAAACAGUUUCCGUUUUGGCAAACGGGUAGUUAGUCUCAUCAAACACCACAUGUCGUGAGAUGAUGAUGCGACCAGUGGCGAUGUCCAUGCAUCGAUAACCCUUGUGGUUGGAAGAAUAACCUAGAAACACGCAUGGGGCAGAACGGGGAGCAAGUUUAUGUGUCAUGAUGAAGGCUAAGUUAGGAUAACAAAGACAACCAAAGAGUAAGUGAGAGUAAUUCGGAGUUAUAUGAAAGAGAGCAAAUAAAGGACAUGGUGCCAUGAUGGUUUUGGUGGGGAGGCGAUUCAAGAGAUAGGUGGCUGCAUGAAGAGCUUCGACCCAGAACCUAGGUGGCAAAGGUGUGGAGAUGACGAUUGUCGAACUCUCGGCCAUUGUCACUCUGUAUGGCCUAUAGAGGCAGCGCAAACUAAGUCGAGACAUAAGCAUGAAAGGAAGAUAAUAUGCUGAAAGUUUCAAAUUUGAGACGUAAAGGAAAAUACUUAUAACCAGAAAUACUUGGCAUAGGGGACGUCCAAAGAUCAUAGUGAACAAGUUCAAAUGGAUUAGAAGUAUGACUAGAGAAUUAGCAAACGGCAACCGUACAUGAUGACCGAGUUGGCAUGCAUAGCAUAAACUAGGAUAUGUUUUUUUUGUUUGACUUGGAAAAAUAGAAGACGAUGUCAGACGCCGAAAUGCAUCAUGACCAGGAUAGCCGAGACAACGGUGCCACAAGGUGGAGUCAUCGGUGGCAUCAAGGAGGGUGUGAGGUACAAGUCCCCUGUGCUAUUGCAUCUGAUGUUGUCUCUCUUGGUAAGAAGGUCCUUCACGGAGAAACUAGGAGGGUUAAACUUAACAGAAACAUUAUUAUUAGUAGUGAAUUGACGAGCAGAAACUAAAUUUUUGACGAUACGAGGAGCAACUAAGACAUUGUUCAAAUGAAGAGGACGAUUAGAAAAAUGUGAAGGAAGAGAGGUGUGGCCGGUUGUGGUGACGGGAAGAGAGGAACCGUCGCCCACAAUGACAUGCCGAAAUUUAGGAUGGGGAGAAAGGGAGUUAAGUAUACCAGCAUUGGCAGACGUAUGUGCCAUUGCACCCGUAUCCAUGUACCAAUAAGUGGACGGUGGCUGAAGGUUCAUGGUGUUGAAGUGGUUGAGGAGAGCCAAUGAGUCCCAAGAUGGAGCGGAGAGUGGGCUGGGCGGAGGAGCAUCGUAGCCAUGCGCCAUGUCGGGGUAGAAAGCAGGCUGGUAGGUCGGUGAUUGGGGCAUUGCCAUGUAGGUGUGCGCUUGAGGACGAGGGAAGACGGGACGUGGACCGAGGAUGCUAGGGGUGUCACCCCCAUGAAUUGGCCAUGUGUGCAUGGCGGCAGUCCAAGGGUUGUAGAGGUUGGCCUGGAAAUUGCUGCCGGCAAGCAUGAUGGUGUAGUGGCGGCGGAGAUACUGCAAAGGGAAGGGACAGGAGGAGAGAUGCGGAAGGGGAUCGAUUUCAGUCUGAUACCAUGUAAGUUUGGGAGAAAAUGCCACAAAUUGUAGAUAUACUGUGUAAGUUUGGUAAAAUCUAGCGGCGGCGCUGUGGUGGAAUGUGGCGGAGGGGGUUUCGGAUUUGGAACCGAAAAGCCCCCUCCGAGCCAUAGAUAUACGAGCGAUGGAGGUGUCGUUUCGGUUUCCCGAAAAGAAUUUUUCGGACCGGACCCGUUUUCGAUAGAUAGUCGGGCCGUUUUUUUGCCUAAAAUUGAAAACUGAUUUCGGGCCACCCCAGUUCGGUAUCUGCUAGAGUUGCUCUUAGAAAGCGCGCACCGUAUAGCGCUAAGGGCGUGUACAAUGGAUGACGCCAGCCUUUUCCUUACUGAUGCCACAUAGUAUAAAAUCUGACGUGGAAAAGAGAGAACUGAAAAAAAGACACAGACUUUCUUUUAAUCAAGAAAUGAUCUCUUCAAAAAAAUGAUAAGGCAAAGAUAAGAUAAAUUUUCAAUUGUACUAGAUUUCAUUUUUUUUAGCAUUUGUUUAAUUAAGUUUAUUCUCUAAACAUUAAUUCUAAGAUAUAACAUAAAAAAUAACACAUUGUACAACAUGUUUUGUUAUUUUUUUCCUAAAUGAUACGGAACAUAUAAUAUAAGACAUUCUUAUCAACCAUUAUACAUGUUACGAAAUGAUAGGGCGCACCGCGUAGACCUUCCCGUUAGACUGGUAUUUGUACGGCGCCCUGUAAAAUAAUGCAAGACAGUUUGGGCAGGGCCCCCCCAAAAUUCCCAUCCGCGUUAACGCGGAGGCUGUAACACUAACGCUAUCUACACCUAUCUUCUUGGCCACACAAUCUCUGACACCUUUUAGCUGAUUGUGUCUCAGUUAAUUAGCUGACUGUCUCUUCCAAUACCGUAUUGAUUAGCAUUGUAUUUGAAACAUAUUAAAACAAAACGCUCUGCAUGUGAAACCUUUUUCUCCUCUUAUUUUCUCUCUCACUGUUUGCAUGUCACAUAAAGCUCUGCACAUUUUUCUUCCAAUGCAGUGCCAGUGCCUCGUCCGUAAACACUGUGUACUUCAACUCACAAUUGAUAAUUGUUAGUCGUGUAUCAGGAAAAAAAAAUAUAAGCACAAACAUUCUUCUAAAACUUAGUACCUCAUCAUGUACCCAUUCAUAAAACAUAGUACCUCGUCUAUAAAUACUGUCUACUUAUGGUACUUAAUGUACCUAAAAUAAAUCAUAGUACAAGCAUCGUCAAAACUUAGCAUCUCGUCAUGUAAGGUACAUGUUAAUCAUGUUGCGUACAUUAGUACAAAUAAGAUACUGACUAAAUAAGUACCUCCUCCUCGAUCACACUUGCGCUAACCCACUAACCCCGUGGUACAUCAUGACCUAUUGGUACGUCACAAAAAAAAAUACACCUCAAAAAUCAAAAGUUGUAAGUACCUUCUCAACCUUAUUACAUCGUUAAUUUUAGUACCUUGUGCAUACACAUUGCUACAAUUAGCAUGUAACGCGUCAAAUAUGAAUACCACAAUACAUCAGAAGUACCUCAUCCACUGCAACCCAGUGACAGAUCAGAUAGGUAUGAACAUGUUCAUAAGAAAUACACCUAAAAAAUCAAAACAACGCAUCAUCACAGAGACAGAAAUUCCUUCAUAAGUACCUCGUCGAUCAUCAUCACAGUACCUCAUGAAUCUAAGAUAUAAAAAAGAAAAUUUUCUGCAUAAUACCUAUAAGUACCUCAUCAAACCUCAGCAAUCGAUGGAUCUCAAGAAGAAAAAAGGAACUUUCCUGCAUAAUGGGGGCUCUGAAGGCACGAAUAAUGAACUUACUUCCUUGCUGUGGUACAAUGAGGAAAUCGCUAUCGGAUUUGCGGAAUGCGGAUCCAUCCAAGGACUUCUCGGCGGCGUUCCUAGGAGGAGAACACCGUGAGAAGAGCAGUCGGCCGGGCGUCGUCUCGAGGCGGCGUCGAGGUCAGAGGAGAGCGCCGUCGAAGUCAGGGGAGGGGCUGGCGGGAGCUCGGGGCGGAUCCCUUUCACUGGUCAGAGGAGGGCGACGGCGCAGCUUGGAAAGGCGGGAAGGCGCCGCCCGCAAGCCCGAGCCUCCCAGAGCCCGCAGCCUGCAGCGGGAGCACCGCUCCGCCUCCCCAACCUCGCUGCCGCCGUCUACUGGGCCUCCCGCGCCCUGGACAACCCCCGCCUCGGAGCCCCUCCGCCACCGGCGCGACCUCACCGUCGCGGGCCUCCUGCCUCGCCGUGCCGCCGCGCACGUAGGGAUCCCCCUGGAGCACCACGGGCUGCCUCGGCUGCUUUCUCCUCCGCCUUCUCCUCGUCGGAGUCGGCCGCCGGGGAGAGCAGCCUUGGCAUCUGGAGCCACGCGAGGGAGUAGAGAGGUGGGAGAGGAAAGGAUGAGAGAGAGAGAACGAAAAGGUAGGAGAGAGGUGGGAUCUGGAGCAUCCGCAGGAGAUAAAGGUUGCGAGAGAGAGGAGAGAGGACCGACUGCUAAGUGUCCAGAGAUUAAAAGAGGUGAACACGUGUAUGGUUCGGAAGAUAGGCAUAGAUCGCGUUAUGGGUACCGGGAGGUUUGAGCAUUCGCGACGCUCUUCUCAGAUCCCUAGUUUCUCUCCCUACCCGAUUCUUCUCUCUCUCACCGCCAUCUACAUCCCAAUUCUCCAAGCCCUCAUCUUCUGUGUUGACCCCUCCGGCUCUUCUCCUCCUUAUCCUCUUCCGUCGUGUCAUGCCCGUCGUCGCAAUUCGUCUGAGAGGCUGGCGCCAGGUGAGCUCCCGCUCAUCACUUGUCCAUACUACGAGUGACAGCAUGUGAGGUGUUCAUGUCGACCACUCCCAAGCAUCUUGACAUGUUCUUCUACAAAUGCAUUAACCAUAAUCCAAGGGUGAAAGUGGGUUGUGAUUUCCGGCACUGGGAGAAACUGUAUGUCAAAUAAUUGGUGAAGAUGGGCCAUCUAGAAUCAAAUUAACAGGCAAUGGUAGAACAUAUGAGGAGUGGGAUGAGGACUCGAAGCACCGGAUGAAUGCUUUGAGGAUUUCAGUGUCAUGAUUCGGAUUCAGCUAUCAAUGACCUCAUUUCUUGUGGCGCCGACAUCUGGUCCGAGAGAUGCUGGUGGUAGUAGUCUAGAAGUAUAUAGAUUGCUGGAUGAAAUUAGUGAUAUAAAAAUAUUUGAUGAGAAGCUAUGGCUGUUUGCAAUGGUAAAGUCCAGUUUGUUGCAAUGGUAAAGUCACGUUUGUUGCAGAGAUGGUCAAAGGAAGCAGGUAGAGAUGCAGCUUAGGUUUCUUUGGUUAUUGGUUAUUGACUUACGUUUCUAGCUGUGGACUAAUCAUUUAUAAAUCCACAAACAUAUUGAAUGAGUUCUCUGUAUGGUGCUAGAUAUUACUACCAAAUAUGUACCGACAAAUUAUGUCUUCAGCACUCCUAUUUGCCGAGGAAUAAAACCUUUUAUUUGCAUGGAAACAGCCAUCUUCAAAUCAGGUAUGCCCAUUUCAGAAGCAAAAUUGUUGGAUUACCUUUACAACACUGUCUCUUCUCUGUCUUUAUUUUGUUUGGGCUAUGCUUAUUGUUACUGAUGCCACUUAGUCAACCAUGUUAGUUAAUUUGUUGCUAUACAGGCGCACGAACUAUAAUCUAAGAAGAUAUAUGUGGAUAUAGUAUUAUACUGUUAUUGUUAAACCUCCUUGUUUUCUGAAGAUCGUUUGGUCUGUUCCAGCUUUCAGCCAUGCGUUUACUUCUGUAAGACAUUCAGUAAGAACUCUGCUGUAAUUUGUUUGGCUCAGCGAUAUAUAAGCUGUAGCUUCGUAAUGGAAAACUAAGAAGAGAAAUCAUAAUUUACUCUAGAACUAGUUAGGGUUCCUCUUUCUUCAAGUAUCUCUCGUUUUAUCCCCAAACUACACCUGUAGACCGAAUCGAUCCACGAUUCCCAUCUCGAUCUUCUGAAGCUAUGUAGUAUAUACAGAGGGUUAGAUUCUGACAAAAAGUUUUUGAAAUCUCUCUAUAGAAAAUUAAAAGGCAGCAUAACCAAGCACCUUGCCAAUUGCCAUCAUUGUACCCCUUAGAAUCAUGCACAAUUCCUUGUACAUACUUGAUACUUGUUUCCAUUUUAUCACUGAUUCCCUAUUUAACUUGUACAUGAAUGCUAUCUAGACUACACUUUUUUCAUUUGGUUGCUUGUGUGAUGGGCACAUCAGUUCACAUAUUGACAUGCCUUUUACUACCACUUAUAAAUAAUUAGUUUUUAGCUUACAGGUUUUCAGGUCCUCUUGAUCCAUCAGACUAAUAAUUAUUCAAAUAGUACGGAUUCUAUUUUCAAAAUAAGUAUUGCAUUGCAUGAAUUUUUUUAAUUAUGAUGAUUGUAUACCUUCACUCAUUCUGUGUAUUUUUUCCCCUGCUACUAUACGAACCAUCACUUGUUCUGUCUAAAGAGUUCCUAUUUCAGUCAAUAGAUCCCAACUAUUGGAUCGUCAAGGUAUUGCAAGAUCUCAACUAUAGAAGUUUUUCAUCAACUUUUGGGUUGCUCCUUUUACUCAUCAUUUGGAAGUGUAUCAGUGCCUCAGACAUCCAUAUGAUAUACUCUAGAGUUGCAAUUUUGGGGAACUUAACGGUUGUAUUCACCGAAGUUCUUUGGACAUGAUAAAAAUAUCUAACCUCCAUUAAACUUUGAUGAAUGAUGCAGUAGAGUAUGAACGUGGGAACUUGCUACAGGCCUACACCUAGAAUAGUAUCAGAGAAAGCAAGCACCGUUAAUUUUCUUGCUCCAAUUAUCUACUACUCCCUCCGUUCCAUAAUUUUUGUCGAAAUAUUACAUGUAUCUGGACACAUUUUAAGAAUAGAUACAUCCAUUUUGGGCAAAUAUGAGAUAAGAAUUACGGAACGGAGGUAGUACAUCCAACUAAUGGUUUUCGAAGGCCUGCCAAUUAACAGUCUCUGCUGGCCAGAUGUCUCUAUAUAUUGAAUUUACCCCUAAAUUUCCUACCAAAUAGUGUAUUUUGUUACAGUAAUAGAGUACUGUUCUUUUUUUUUUAUGCUGGUUGACUUAAGCUAUUCUUCUUGCUGUAUUUCCUAUCAGAGAGGACUGCUCUUUUGAUGAUAUUCUUUUGAUGUUUCAGUGUGCCAUGACAGAUUGUUCUAGACGUUCAAAAUCUUCGUACAAUAUCACAAGCCUUCUUGUGGUGCACUGGCAAAGCUUAGUUCGUACAUCAUAUUAUAUUAUCGAGUAAAAUGCACCCGAGGUUCAUAUUCUUUCACGAAGGUGUCAAGUAGGUUCCUAAUCUUUGAAAAUGCACGUUUAGGUCCUCAUUGUUUGCUAAGUGGUUCAUCCCAGGUCCCUCGCAUGUAUGCGCAGCUCUGGCCGCAUGACGUGGCUGCCAUCUAGGAUUUGGGCCCACACGUCAAGCAACGACGUGGCGUUGCAAUCUUACAGAAAACCAUCCCCCUUUUGUAAGUCUAUUGCAUUUCGCGGUCUACAAAUCCGUUCUCCAGUUAACAAAACACGUAGGGGGGACCGCGAAAUGCAAUAGACUUACACGCGGGAGGGGGGGUGGUUUUCUGUAAGAUUUGCAACGCCACGUGUUGCCUGACGUGUGGGCCAAAGCCUAGAUGGCAGCCACGUCAUGCGGCUGGAGCUGCACAUAAUUGCGAGGGACCUGAGAUGAACCACUUAACAAACAAUGAAGACUUAAACGUGCAUUUUCAAAGAUUAGGGACCAACUUGACACCUUCGCGAAAGAAUAGGAAUCUUGGGUACAUUUUACUCUAUUAUCUCUUUUUAUGAAAGAUGUGAUGAUUUUUACAAUCUAUGUACCUAAUACUUUGAAGGAACGUAGAACUUGGAGUUGAAACCACUCUUUAUAACAAUGUAUAAAUUAUUUAUGUCUUGUGUUAUGGUCUCAAAAUUGUCUUGAAGAAA